rnacentral:rRNA from 1 species
UACGGAGGGAGCUAGCGUUGUUCGGAUUUACUGGGCGUAAAGGGCGCGUAGGCGGCUCGCUAAGUCGGAUGUGAAAACUCUGGGCUCAACCCAGAGCCUGCAUUCGAAACUGACGAGCUCGAGUUCUGGAGGGGAAAGCGGAAUUCCUGGUGUAGCGGUGAAAUGCGUAGAUAUCAGGAGGAACACCGGUGGCGAAGGCGGCUUUCUGGACAGAAACUGACGCUGAUGCGCGAAAGCUAGGGGAGCAAACAGG